rnacentral:rRNA from 1 species
GACGAGCGCUGGCGGCGUGCUUAACACAUGCAAGUCGAGCGGUAAGGCCCUUUCGGGGUACGACGAGCGGCGAACGGGUAGGAGUAACAACGUGGGUGGACCUCGCCCUCCAGCUCUGGGAGUAAGACCCGGGAAACCGUAGGGUCGUAAUACCGGAUAUGACUUCAUGACGCAUGUUGUGGAGUGGAAAGACCUUGUGCGGCUGAGGAUGGGCCCGGCCGGCCUAUCAGCUUGUUGGUGGGGUGGAUGGCCUACCAAGGCGACGACGGGUAGCCGG